UGGACCAGCUGCAGAAAUGAGCUACCCUCUCUGCUGAUAGCAAGAGACAUUUAGACAACCAGCGGCAGAGAGGGGCUACCCACUCUAGGGCCUCCUCUCUGCUGAGAGCCUCAGAGACCUGCAGAGACAUGCAGACUACCAGCUGCAGAGAGGAGCAACCCACUCCAAAACCCCCUCUCUGCUGAGAGCUGCAGAGAUGACAGGAUGACCUACCUGAAGAGAGGAGCCUCCCAACCCAGGGUGUCUUCUCUGCCAGGAGCUGAACACUGAUCGGGACACCCUGACUGUGGAAAGUAGCUACCCUUUGUGGGUCUCCUGUGAGCUGUUCUAUUGCUCAAUAAUGCUCCUCUUCAUCUUGCUUUCCCUCCACCUGUCUGCAUACCUCAUUCUUCCUGGUCGAAGGACAAGAACUCAGGACCCACUGAAUGGUAGAGAUUUUGCAGAGGAGACAAAGAGCAAUUCUUAACAUCUGCCCAAGUGGAUCUCCCAGAAAGAAAGGCCAGGAGCUUGUCUGGAAAGAAAUUCUUACUUUUCUCAGCCAGACAUGGAGGCGUGUGCCUGUAGUCCCAGCUACUUGGGAGACUGAGAUAGAAGGAUCACUUGAGCCCAGGAGGCGGAGAUUGCAGUGAGCCAAGAUCACACCACUACAUUCCAGCCUGGGUAAUAAAAUGAGACUCUGUCAAAAAAAGAAAAAGAAAAAAGAAAAGAAAAAAACAGAAAUUCUUACUUUUCUGCUGACUUACAAGUGCUUGGGCUCGCUUCACUGAGGCUUCUGAAAGAACAGAGUGGCUUUGGUAUCCUGCUCAUGGGGACAGAACUGCUGAGGCCAAGAAAAAUGUUUGUCCUUUCUCCUCUGAAGGUUUGUUAACAAAAAAAAAUCACCCACAAAGGAGAUUAAUGGGAGAAAUAGCAUACAUAUUCAUUCAUAUGUUCAUGGAGGAGAAAUACAGAGUGAUUCCCCCUUCUUGAGAAACAGUAAGUCUCAAAGAAAGAGACUUUCUU
rnacentral:lncRNA from 1 species